CACGCCGUAAACGAUGAUCACUCGCUGUAUGCGAUACACAGUAUGCGGCCAAGCGAAAGCAUUAAGUGAUCCACCUGGGGAGUACGAUCGCAAGGUUGAAACUCAAAGGAAUUGACGGGGGCCCGCACAAGCGGAGGAACAUGUGGUUUAAUUCGAUGAUACGCGAGGAACCUUACCUGGGCUUAAAUGUAGAGCGACAGAUUGUGAAAGCAGUCCUUCUCCGGACGAUCUACAAGGUGCUGCAUGGUUGUCGUCAGCUCGUGCCGUGAGGUGUCGGGUUAAGUCCCAUAACGAGCGCAACCCUUAUCGUUAGUUGCCAGCGGGUCAAGCCGGGGACUCUAGCGAGACUGCCACCGUAAGGUGU
rnacentral:rRNA from 1 species